UACCCGCAGCUCAAGUGGUGGUCAUUAUUAUUGGGCUUAAAGCGUCCGUAGCUGGCUUGUUAGAUGCCUGGGUAAAUCGAUGUGCUUAACGCAUCGAAUUCCGGGUAGACCGGCAAGCUCGAGACCGGGAGAGGUGUAGGCUACUCGGGGGGUAGGGGUAAAAUCCUGUAAUCCUCCGGGGAGGACCAGUGGCGAAGGCGCUACACUAGAACGGCUCUGACAGUGAGGGACGAAGCCCUGGGGCGGCA
rnacentral:rRNA from 1 species